UUAUUUGGGGACUCCUUUUAUGGGUUUUA
rnacentral:piRNA from 1 species